AUGGAACGCUGGCGGCAUGACUGACACAUGCAAGUCGAACGGUAACAGGUCUUCGGAUGCUGACGAGUGGCGAACGGGUGAGUAAUACAUCGGAACGUGCCCGAUCGUGGGGGAUAACGAAGCGAAAGCUUUGAUAAUACCGCAUAAGAUCUACGGAUGAAAGCAGGGGACCGCAAGGCCUUGCGCGAACGGAGCGGCCGAUGGCAGAUUAGGUAGUUGGUGGGAUAAAAGCUUACCAAGCCGGCGAUCUGUAGCUGGUCUGAGAGGACGAACAGCCACACUGGGACUGAGACACGGCCCAGACUCCUACGGGAGGCAGCAGUAGGGAAUUUUGGGCAAUGGGCGAAAGCCUGAUCCAGCCAGGCCGCGUGCAGGAUGAAGGCCUUCGGGUUGUAAACUGCUUUUGUACGGAACGAAAAGACUCUGGUUAAUACCUGGGGUCCAUGACGGUACCGUAAGAAUAAGCACCGGCUAACUACGUGCCAGCCGCCGCGGUAA
rnacentral:rRNA from 1 species